CUGACUCAGAGCAGCACCGCCGCUUCGCACGCGAUGCUGCCGGCUCCCCCCAUCCUCCGCGGGCUCCCGGCGCCGCACGGGGAGAGCAGGCACGCUUGGGGGGCGGGAGCUGCCUGGGGAGGAGGACAAGGGGUCCCCAGCCCGGCCGGGGAUGCUCAGGGAGGCGGGAGUCAGGCAGGAGUGGCUGGAGGAAGGGAGGAGCAGUUUUACAGCCAUAAUCCCACUCUUUGGUGUGGCUGGGACAGGCCUCACUGUCUCUUGCAUUUCUUGGUGGUGCCUGAUAUUAAAAGUCCUGCCAGUGAAGGAUUGCUCUCUUUGGAGCGGAGCACAGAUCCUCCCAGCCACAGGAGAAGAGCAGAGAACAGAAAUCACCAUGACCUUGUCCUACUCUUCAUCCAAGUCGCUUAAAGGCACUUUAAGGAAGGUGAAGCCAGCAGCAUCAGGAAAUCUAGUCCAGCAGCACAGCUGGGAGCACUGUUUGGAUGGCUCUUCUCUCUAUGUGAGAUCACAGAACUAUGAAUUUCAUGGGGCUUCAGAGCUUU
rnacentral:lncRNA from 1 species